rnacentral:tmRNA from 1 species
CGACUCCGGUCGUCGAAGUGGGAGAAGCGAGCCGUGGUCUCCGGAGCCACGUUAAAGAGCCGGAAACCAACACAAACGCCGAGCCCAAGCUCGCGCUUGCUGCCUAAAUAGCAGCAAUGUCUGCCCGACCCCAGCCUCACGGGUCGGCCUGCAGGCAUCAUCUCGUGGGGCUUACCCGAACGGUGCCGCUGACGCGUAGCUCGGGAACAUCCAAGUCAGCUGGGAGCCCGUCUUGACGCCGGUGGCGGAAUGGGCUCCGAGACCCUCCCGCCGGCUGCGCUCGGAGAAGCCCCAUUGAGAAGCCGGAGGACGCGGGUUCGACUCCCGCCACCUCCACGG